rnacentral:rRNA from 1 species
AGCUAAUAGAUACCCAGGUAGUCCUGGCCCUAAACGAUGUCCACUAGAUCGCGGCGCGGUUUGACCCGCCCGCGGUCGGAGCAAAAAAAGUGUUAAGUGGACCGCCUGGGAAGUACGGUCGCAAGGCUAAAACUCAAAGGAAUUGACGGGGGCUCACACAAGCGGUGGAGCAUGUGGUUCAAUUCGAAGCAACGCGCAGAACCUUACCUGGGCUUGACAUGCUCGGAUUAUCCGGAUGAAAGUUCGGUAGGCCCGCAAGGGUACAACGAGUACAGGUGCUGCAUGGCUGUCGUCAGCUCGUGUCGUGAGAUGUCGGGUUAAGUCCCUUAACGAGCGAAACCUUUACCCUUAGUUACCAGCGGGUUAUGCCGGGGACUCUAAGGGGACCGCCGGUGUCAAACCGGAGGAAGGUGGAGAUGACGCCAAGUCCUCAUGGCCUUUAUGCCCAGGGCCACACACGUGCUACAAUGGCGUCCACAAAGCGACCCUAAACCGCGAGGUCAUGGAAAUCGCAGAAAUGACGCCCCAGUUCAGAUCGGAGGCUGCAACUCGCCUCC